GCCGGGCAUGGUGGCUCAUGCCUGUAAUCCCAGCACUUUGGGAGGCCAAGAUGGGAGGAUCACCUGAGGUCAGGAGUUCGAGAUCAGCCUGACCAACAUGGAGAAACCCCAUCUGUA
ensembl:misc_RNA Metazoa_SRP Metazoan signal recognition particle RNA